UACGUAGGGUGCGAGCGUUAAUCGGAAUUACUGGGCGUAAAGCGCGCGUAGGCGGCUAGAUCAGUCUGCUGUAAAAGUCAAAGGCUCAACCUUUGAAAGCCGGUGGAUACUGUCUAGCUAGAGUCCGGAAGAGGCGAGUGGAAUUCCUGGUGUAGCGGUGGAAUGCGCAGAUAUCAGGAGGAACACCAACGGCGAAGGCAGCUCGCUGGGACGGUACUGACGCUAAGGCGCGAAAGCGUGGGGAGCGAACAGG
rnacentral:rRNA from 1 species